AACAUAUGCUAAAUCCGCUUCAG
rnacentral:piRNA from 1 species